GUCGACGGCAGCGGGUCAGUAGCAAUACUGAUGCCGGCGAGUGGCGGACGGGUGAGGAAUACAUCGGAAUCUACCUUGUGGUGGGGGAUAACGUAGGGAAACUUACGCUAAUACCGCAUACGACCUACGGGUGAGAGCGGCGGACCGCAAGGCGUCGCGCGAUUGGAUGAGCCGAUGUCCGAUUAGCUAGUUGGCGGGGUAAGAGCCCACCAAGGCGACGAUCGGUAGCUGGUCUGAGAGGAUGAUCAGCCACACUGGAACUGAGACACGGUCCAGACUCCUACGGGAGGCAGCAGUGGGGAAUAUUGGACAAUGGGCGCAAGCCUGAUCCAGCCAUGCCGCGUGUGUGAAGAAGGCCUUCGGGUCGUAAAGCACUUUUGUUGGGGAAGAAAAGCAUCCGGUUAAUACCCGGGUGUUCUGACGGUACCCAAAGAAUAAGCACCGGCUAACUUCGUGCCAGCAGCCGCGGUAAUACGAAGGGUGCAAGCGUUACUCGGAAUUACUGGGCGUAAAGCGUGCGUAGGUGGUUCGUUAAGUCUGUCGUGAAAGCCCCGGGCUCAACCUGGGAAUGGCGAUGGAUACUGGCGGGCUAGAGUGCGGUAGAGGAGAGUGGAAUUCCCCGGUGUAGCAGUGAAAUGCGUAGAGAUCGGGAGGAACAUCAGUUGCGAAGGCGGCUCUCUGGACCAGCACUGACACUGAGGCACGAAAGCGUGGGGAGCAAACAGGAUUAGAUACCCCUGGUAGUCCACGCCCUAAACGAUGCGAACUGGACGUUGGGAGCAUCAGGCUCUCAGUGUCGAAGCUA
rnacentral:rRNA from 1 species